CAGUCGCCGCGGUAAUACGAAGGGGGCUAGCGUUGUUCGGAAUUACUGGGCGUAAAGCGCGCGCAGGCGGUUCUCCAAGUCAGUGGUGAAAGCCCGGAGCUCAACUCCGGAACUGCCAUUGAAACUGUUGAACUUGAGGACGAGAGAGGUGAGUGGAAUUCCCAGUGUAGAGGUGAAAUUCGUAGAUAUUGGGAAGAACACCGGUGGCGAAGGCGGCUCACUGGCUCGUAUCUGACGCUCAGGCGCGAUAGCGUGGGGAUCAAACAGGAUUAGAUACCCCAGUAGUCCCUGUCUCUUAUAC
rnacentral:rRNA from 1 species